CCUACGGGAGGCAGCAGUAGGGAAUCUUCCACAAUGGACGAAAGUCUGAUGGAGCAACGCCGCGUGAGUGAAGAAGGGUUUCGGCUCGUAAAGCUCUGUUGGUAGUGAAGAAAGAUAGAGGUAGUAACUGGCCUUUAUUUGACGGUAGUUACUUAGAAAGUCACGGCUAACUACGUGCCAGCAGCCGCGGUAAUACGUAGGUGGCAAGCGUUGUCCGGAUUUAUUGGGCGUAAAGCGAGUGUAGGCGGUUCAAUAAGU
rnacentral:rRNA from 1 species